rfam:Schistosoma curassoni strain Dakar, Senegal genome assembly, scaffold: SCTD_scaffold0002512
AUCCAGCUGACGAGUCACAAAAUAGGACGAAACACGCGUCAAACUAGAU